rnacentral:rRNA from 1 species
UACGGAGGGAGCUAGCGUUGUUCGGAAUCACUGGGCGUAAAGCGCACGUAGGCGGAUUCUUAAGUCAGGGGUGAAAUCCUGGAGCUCAACUCCAGAACUGCCUUUGAUACUGGGAGUCUCGAGUCCGGGAGAGGUGAGUGGAACUGCGAGUGUAGAGGUGAAAUUCGUAGAUAUUCGCAAGAACACCAGUGGCGAAGGCGGCUCACUGGCCCGGUACUGACGCUGAGGUGCGAAAGCGUGGGGAGCAAACAGG